CACACGUUAAGUCUUGAACUCAAGUUAUGGCAAGGAGACCGGAGAAAGAAAUACCAAAUGGGUCUCAUUUAGUGUAAAAUGGAAGGUGAUCUCUUCGUUCCAACAUCAACCUUGGUAUUUCAUUCCCGGGGUCCGUGUUCAGUAGCGCUAACCAUCAACCCAUCAAAAACUCAAAAACUGCAUAAAGAGGUGGUUUAGGAGAAGGAAG
rnacentral:sRNA from 1 species